GGUCUAGCACCCAAAAAUUGUGCACACCCACACUACACGGGCAUGUGCUAGUCAAUGACAAAUCAGAAAUAACUAACUGCCCACCUGGGCUGUCCUAAGCCAAGCUAGAGCCAACCAUUGGCAUUUGUGAGACACAGGAAGUGAGGUAGGGAACAGCCUCUGGAAUUCGCUCACUUCCUGUGGAGAGAGCGAGACAGGAGUUGGUGUUAGGAGCUUGGACAGGGAGGACGCCCCCAGACAGCUUUCCUUCAGAUCACUCACGGUGCUACAAGGCAAUUUUGGAGAUGGGAAUAUCUUCAAUAUAAAUUUCAAAGGUGUCUUCUUUAAUAGAGUGAAUGGCCAUGAUUAGCUCUUCAACAUUAGAAAAGGCAAUUAGGUCCCCAUCUUCAUCUCUAUAGUAUUCUUAGAAACCUACUGCUGCAGUCUCAGAAACUCACUCACACCUUGGAACAGCUCUUCUCAGAUGUCUUAGCACUCAAACAGCUUCAGGGGGAAAAAUUGCAUAUCUCAUGGAGCAUCUCUUCUUUGUACAUCAGGUAACUCUUGAAGGAAGGCCAUCAAGUAGAGAUUAACCACUGUAAUUGUAAUCAGGUGUAUGAAUUAAGAGCACAAUGCAGCAUAUUGGAAUCAUCAUAAAUACUAAGAGGCUAUCAAAGGUUGCCCACAAGUCUUACCAUGAUUUUUACUGCUCUAAAAGGACUGAGAAAGACUCAACUAACCUGGGAGUCCACCUAGACUUGCUCACACAAGUCAUUCUUCAUUUUAAAACCACUAGCAUUCUCAUAAUGAUACUGAAUGAACUGAUAAUAUGAAACUUAUAUAUAAAGUUUACAAAUAAAAUAAUUUAUACUCUAA